ACACCUUACACGGGUUUUUGCUUUAAACCACGUCACAUCCGGUAAGACGGUCGUUAUGAACAAAUCAUGGCGGCUGAGCGCAGAGACUUCAAACAGUGUUUGCACAUCUACUUUGUUGACAAACUGGAAAGGACUGCUGAAAUGACUGCUCCACUCCCUCCUCCUGAUUGAUGACUGACAUCUGCUCAUCUUAGAUGAGUCUGACUCAACGCUGAAUAAGACAGAUGUCCUAGAAUGUCCUGGGUUGGCCACAGCAUGUCAUUCGACUGUUCAUUGUCACAGCAUACCUGGAUAUGAAGCUGCAGCAAACAAUAGAAGUGGGAGCACAAAGAUACAGCAUCCUCUCUUUAAUGCAGGAAUUUUGUCCAAGCAUUGGAAAACCUGUAGCUUGUGGAGCUCAUUCACAAGAACUUGUAUAGACUUUUACUGACCCCUGCUGGCAAAUACUGGCAAGUGCAUCAUUAUCCAAUUUGCACAGUAAAGUUGGUCAGUUGUGGAGGAACAAAAAUAUGUAAUGUUAAAAUUUAACAAUUAAACAGAAUUAUUUUCCUUUUUCUUAAGCAAUACCCAUAUUCACAUUGGUUGCACAGUGGAUUUGUUAACAUUUCUCUGUAUUUUCCUUUUGUAAAGAUUUGAAAUACUUUAUUAAAUGUGAGUUAAUUUGCUCUGUUUCUACCUUGUUUUUUGUGAGAUUCUCGAGGGCUUAGGAAAUAAGAUUGUUGAAGGUUAAGAAUUAAAUAAGUUAUUGUCUUCUAUGCUAAGCUUGUUGCAAAUGUGCUGUAAUUUCAUUUGAAACAGUUUCCUGAUUUAAAGAUGAACUACUUAAAAAAAAAAACAAAAAAAAAACAUGUAGGACCCGUUGACGUUUGUUGGUAUGUUGGUAUGUUACUUUGUAUGAUAACAGACUCAAACCAGAGCUGGAACAUGGACACUCGGUUAAGACACAUGAGCAAAUAACCCAAGCUAAUAUGGUUUAAAUUAAAUGCCAAAAUGACUCCAAGUAAAACAUUUGGAUCUGUGUUGGAUGGCCAUUCCUACUUGUGUGAUAAUGGCAGAUAAAAUAGAUGGUACAAUGGUAAAAA